CGACUAAAAUCCUGCCACAAAGCAGAGCUCCUAGUGUGAGAAAGUGCUACUGCUGUAUGACAGGGCACUAAAAUCAGGAAUCAUUUGUAGGAGAGGCACAAAACCUACAUACUGGAGGAGCAUGAAGAGCAGGGGGAAGACUGAGACAAGAUUAAAGUCCUGUAUCAGGUAAAUAUUUUGGUGUGUUGGAAGCCAAAAAAUAGCCUUCGGGUAAUACCUGUAGAUUAAAAUGUGAAGUUGAUCACUAUCAAAAAUAUUUUGUGACCUAAAAUGAAGCUCUGAGUAAUCAUCACAAUAGGUGCCAAGAUACAAGAAGUGGGCAUCGAAAAGAUAUCUUUAGAUAAGUCUCCCAGAGUAAGAGUUAUCCAUGAUUAAGUUAAAUCAGUGCUACAGAGUACACCAUAAAGAGAUAUAGCUUUAAGUGUAUGAGUUCAAAUG